rnacentral:rRNA from 1 species
AUGGAGCUCACGGCCUGGCCACCGCUCCUCUUGCUCAUCACUCUCUCACUCUCGCUCGCAGCUUGGCUCCUCUUCUUGCUCAGCAGCCGCCACGGCGUCGAGAAGAAGGCGACCGGUAAGGAGCUCCCCCCGGGCCCGCCGGCGCUAGUCUUCCUGGCUAAGUUCCUAGCGCUCCGGCGAUCCAUCUUCCACCUUGAGCCGCUCCUCCGCGAGCUGCACGCGCGCUACGGCCCCGUCAUCUCCAUCCGCCUCUUCCGCGCCCUCGUCUUCGUCUCCGACCGCCGCCUCGCCCACCGCGUUCUCGUCCAGGGCGGCGCCACCUUUGCCGACCGCCCGAGGCUCUUCGAGCCGGGGCUCCUCUUCACCUCCGGCUCCCGCAACAUCAACGCCGCGCCCUACGGGCCUUACUGGCGCCUUGUCCGCCGCAACCUCGCCUCCGAGGCGCUGCACCCGGCCUGCGUCAGCCAGUUCGCGCCCGCCAGGCGCCGGAUGCGCGACGUGCUCGUCCGCGACCUCCGCGCGCGCGGCGCCGGCGGCGACCCCGUCGAGGUGAGGACGCCGUUCCGGAACGCCAUGUUCGACCUGCUCGUGUACAUGAGCCUCGGCGCCCGGCUCGCCCCGGAGCUGCUCGACGAGAUGCAGGAGAUGCAGCUGUGGGUCGUCCGCACCAUCACCAGCUUCCCCAUCUUUUCCUUCUUCCCGGCGCUCACCAAGAGGCUCUUCCGCAAGCGAUGGGAAGCGCACCUUGCCGUCCGCCGGAGGCAGGACGAGAUCUUGCUCCCGAUGAUCGAAGCACGGCGCUCCGCUUCCGUGCCCCGCGGCGCCGAUGACCCGCCGUGCUACGCCGACUCGCUCCUAGCGCUGCGCGUGGCCGACGAAGGCGGCCGCCCGCUCACGGACUCUGAGCUCGUCAGUCUCUGCUCCGAGUUCUUGAGCGGCGGCACGGACAGCACCGUGACCUCGCUGGAGUGGAUCAUGGGGGAGCUGGUGAACCAUCCGGACAUGCAGGCCAAGGUCUACGAGGAGGUCAGGAGCAAGCCGGAGCUCAGCGAAGGCGACCUGCAGCGGAUGCCGUACCUGAAGGCCGUGGUCCUCGAGGGGCUACGGCUCCACCCGCCGGCUCACUUCCUCCUCCCUCACGGCGUGCAUAGCGACACGGAGAUCGGCGGCUAUAGGGUCCCCAAGGGCGCGGAGGUCAACUUCCUGGUCGCCGAGUUCGGGCGAGACGAGACGGUGUGGGCGGCGGCGCGGGAGUUCCGGCCGGAGCGGUUCCUGGACGGCGGCGAGGGGUGCGGCGUGGACAUCACGGGGAGCAGGGAGAUCAAGAUGAUGCCCUUCGGAGCGGGCCGCAGGAUGUGCCCGGGAUAUACGCUCGCCAUGCUGCACUUGGAGUUCUUCGUCGGGAGCCUCGUGAGGGAGCUGGAGUGGCUGCCGGCGGUGGACGGGGAGGAGGUGGACAUGACCGAGGUGCUGGAUUUCACCACCCUCAUGAAGAAUCCCCUCCGUGUUCGCGCCAUCCCAAGGACUUGA